GCUGGCGGCGUGCCUCAGACAUGCAAGUCGAACGCGAAAGUCUCCUUCGGGGGGCAAGUAGAGUGGCGCACGGGUGAGUAACACGUAGGUAAUCUACCUUUGGAUUGGGAAUAACCACCGGAAACGGUGGCUAAUACCGAAUAAUGCAGCGGCACCUAAUGGUGACAGUUGUUAAAGCGGGGGAUCGAAAGACCUCGCGUCUGAAGAGGAGCCUGCGGCAGAUUAGCUAGUUGGUAAGGUAACGGCUUACCAAGGCGAUGAUCUGUAGCCGGCCUGAGAGGGCGGUCGGCCACACUGACACUGACAUACGGGUCAGACUCCUACGGGAGGCAGCAGUCGGGAAUUUUGGGCAAUGGGCGAAAGCCUGACCCAGCAACGCCGCGUGAAGGAUGAAAUCCUUCGGGAUGUAAACUUCGCAAGAACGGGAAGAAUAAGUAAGGGUUAAUAUCUCUUACGAUGACGGUACUGUUUGUAAGCUCCGGCUAACUCCGUGCCAGCAGCCGCGGUAAUACGGGGGGAGCAAGCGUUGUUUGGAUUUACUGGGCGUAAAGGGCGCGUAGGCGGCCACCGCAAGUCGACUGUGAAAUCUCCGGGCUUAACCCGGAAAGGUCA
rnacentral:rRNA from 1 species